rnacentral:rRNA from 1 species
AGCAGCCGCGGUAAUUCCAGCUCCAAUAGCGUAUAUUAAAGUUGUUGCAGUUAAAAAGCUCGUAGUUGAAUUUCGGGGUUAGUAGGUCGGUCGUGCCACUGGUAUGUACUGGCUUUACUGAUUCCUCCCUCUUGUAGAACCGUAAUGCCAUUAAUUUGGUGUUGCGGGGAAACAGGACUGUUACUUUGAAAAAAUUAGAGUGUUUAAAGCAGGCUAACGCUUGAAUACAUUAGCAUGGAAUAAUGAAAUAGGACGUCGGUCUUAUUUUGUUGGUUUCUAGGAUUGACGUAAUGAUUAAUAGGGAUAGUUGGGGGCAUUAGUAUUCAAUUGUCAGAGGUGAAAUUCUUGGAUUUAUUGAAGACUAACUACUGCGAAAGCAUUUGCCAAGGAUGUUUUCAUUAAUCAAGAACGAAAGUUAGGGGAUCGAAGACGAUCAGAUACCGUCGUAGUCUUAACCAUAAACUAUGCCGACUAGGGAUCGGAUGAUGUUAAUUUUUUAAUGACUCAUUCGGCGCCUUACGGGAAACCAAAGUUGUUUGGGUUUCGG